AGAGUUUGAUCAUGGCUCAGGAUGAACGCUGGCGGCGUGCUUAACACAUGCAAGUCGAGCGGAGAUAUUUUAAAAGCUUGCUUUUAAAAUAUUUUAGCGGCGGACGGGUGAGUAACGUGUGGGCAACCUGCCUCAUACAGAGGGAUAAUCAUGUGAAAACGUGACUAAUACCUCAUGUGGUUAAGGGAAGGCAUCUUCCUUUAAAAAAAGGAGCAAUCCGGUAUGAGAUGGGCCCGCAUCUGAUUAGCUAGUUGGUGAGAUAACAGCCCACCAAGGCAACGAUCAGUAGCCGACCUGAGAGGGUGAACGGCCACAUUGGGACUGAGACACGGCCCAA
rnacentral:rRNA from 1 species